rnacentral:rRNA from 1 species
AGAGUUUGAUCCUGGCUCAGGACGAACGCUGGCGGCGUGCUUAACACAUGCAAGUCGAACGGAGCUAUUUAUUUCGGUAGAUAGCUUAGUGGCAAACGGGUGAGUAACGCGUAGGCAACCUGCCCUCAGGAUGGGGACAACGGCUCGAAAGAGCCGCUAAUACCGAAUGACGUAACUCUUCCACAUGGAAGAGAUACUAAAGAUGGGUCAAACCAUCGCCUAAGGAUGGGCCUGCGUCUGAUUAGCCAGUUGGUGAGGUAACGGCUCACCAAAGCGACGAUCAGUAGCCGGUCUGAGAGGAUGAACGGCCACAAUGGGACUGAGACACGGCCCAUACUCCUACGGGAGGCAGCAGUGGGGAAUCUUCCGCAAUGGGCGAAAGCCUGACGGAGCAACGCCGCGUGAGUGAAGAAGGUCUUCGGAUCGUAAAGCUCUGUUGUCGGGGACGAAAGGGUAGACGAGGUAAUGCGUUUACUAAGACGGUACCCGACGAGGAAGCCACGGCUAACUACGUGCCAGCAGCCGCGGUAAUACGUAGGCGGCAAGCGUUGUCCGGAAUUAUUGGGCGUAAAGGGAGCGCAGGUGGGACGGUAAGUCCGUCUUAAAAGGCAGGGGCUCAGCCCCUGUAAGGGAUGGAAACUAUCGAUCUUGAGUGCCGGAGAGGAAAGCGGAAUUCCCAGUGUAGCGGUGAAAUGCGUAGAUAUUGGGAAGAACACCAGUGGCGAAGGCGGCUUUCUGGACGGCAACUGACACUGAGGCUCGAAAGCCAGGGGAGCGAACGGGAUUAGAUACCCCGGUAGUCCUGGCCGUAAACGAUGGAUACUAGGUGUAGGAGGUAUCGACCCCUCCUGUGCCGGAGUUAACGCAAUAAGUAUCCCGCCUGGGGAGUACGGUCGCAAGACU